GGUGCUUACCACAGGCUGUGUUCUUACACUGACUGUACAGAGUAACCCUACCCAUAUACACCCCAGCCCAGGCCCUUUGCCUGGUCUGUGUUGUGUUGGAGGGGGAGGGGG
rnacentral:snoRNA from 1 species